GGAGAGAUGGCUGAGUGGUCGAAAGCAAUAGAUUGCUAAUCUAUCGUACUAUUUUAUUUAGUACCGAGGGUUCGAAUCCCUUUCUCUCCU
rnacentral:tRNA from 1 species